UACGAAGGGGGCUAGCGUUGUUCGGAAUUACUGGGCGUAAAGGGCGCGUAGGCGGUCCCUCAAGUCAGGCGUGAAAGCCCCGGGCUCAACCUGGGAACCGCGCUUGAGACUGGUGGGCUAGAGUUCGGGAGAGGAUGGUGGAAUUCCCAGUGUAGAGGUGAAAUUCGUAGAUAUUGGCAAGAACACCGAUGGCGAAGGCAGCCAUCUGGACCGACACUGACGCUGAGGCGCGAAAGCGUGGGGAGCAAACAGG
rnacentral:rRNA from 1 species